UAUCGCUGCCCUUCUUGGGCGUUUCCUCCCUAAACUUCGGGCCGCUGGAGACAGCGGCCUUUUUUCUUGCCUGAA
rnacentral:sRNA from 1 species